UACAGAGGUGGCAAGCGUUGUUCGGAAUUACUGGGCGUAAAGGGCGCGUAGGCGGCCUUCUAAGUCAGACGUGAAAUCCCCCGGCUUAACCUGGGAACUGCGUCUGAUACUGGGAGGCUUGAGUAUGGGAGAGGGAUGUAGAAUUCCAGGUGUAGCGGUGAAAUGCGUAGAUAUCUGGAGGAAUACCGGUGGCGAAGGCGGCAUCCUGGACCAUAACUGACACUGAGGGACGAAAGCUAGGGGAGCGAAUGGG
rnacentral:rRNA from 1 species